GUAGCGGAGUAGGCUGGGGUGGAUCACAGACGGACCGCUUUGCCCUGGCAAGGAGCAUGCGCUCCACGCUGAAGGCAGUGGGCAGUCACUGAGGGGAGGAGGGCAGGAAAGAAGCAGGUUCAGAUUUGGUUUUUAAAAAGGGAUUCUAUUUGCUGUGUCCACAAUGGAGGAAGAGAGACCAAGAAGGGAGCAGUUAAGUGACCCUAAAUGGAGACGAUUAUGCCCAAACAAAGAGAUAUAAAGAGAGAAAGGAACUUGUUCCAGAGGUUGAGACUGGAAGCUGGCAUUAAACUGCCAUCAGGAGGAAUAGAGUCCUGAGUGAGCACCUACAAUGCACUAGACACCAGGAACAGAUUCAGAGAGGAGAGAAAGUCCCUUGACACGAACACGAGAAAGCCCACCGAAAACACCUGAACCAGGGAAAAGGCAAGAGAUGAAGGGGGAAAGCACCUGAGAUCAAGUCCGAGCCUGGCCCUGACCAGCUGUGUGCUCAGCAAACCAUUGCCUCCUCCCAAGGAAGACUACAUUUCCCAGCUUCCCCUGCAGUUGCUGGGGCCAUGUUACUGAGUUCUGGCGAUUGGAGUGUGAACAAAAGGCAGGAAAGCCACUUCAAGACCUGGCCCUUUAAAAUAUCCCAUAUGACCCUCUGCCCUCUUUUCUCUUCCAUGGUGACUUUGGGGGACCAGAUGGUGCAUGGAUGGAAGAGAGCCAUCUAACCUUAACAGGACUGUGACUUGAGCAAGAAAUACAUCUGAUUCGUUAAUCCACCAAUCUUUAGGGUUCUCAACAUUGAUUCCCCAGUGGUUCUAAAAGCCUGG
rnacentral:lncRNA from 1 species